UACGGAAGGGGCAAGCGUUGUUCGGAAUCAUUGGGCGUAAAGGGCGCGUAGGUGGUUCUGUAUGUCUACCGUGAAAGCAUACAGCUCAACUGUAUUUGUCGGUAGAAACUGCAGGACUUGAGGCUGGGAGGGGCUGGUGGAAUUCCCUGUGUAGCGGUGAAAUGCGUAGAGAUGGGGAGAACACUCGUGGCGAAGGCGGCCAGCUAGACCAGUUCUGACACUGAGGCGCGACAGCGUGG
rnacentral:rRNA from 1 species